UACAGAGGGGGCAAGCGUUGUUCGGAAUUACUGGGCGUAAAGGGCGCGUAGGCGGCCUUCUAAGUCGAACGUGAAAUCCCCGGGCUCAACCCGGGAACUGCGUCCGAUACUGGAAGGCUUGAAUCCGGGAGAGGGAUGCGGAAUUCCAGGUGUAGCGGUGAAAUGCGCAGAUAUCAGGAGGAACACCGAUUGCGAAGGCAGCUCGCUGGGACGUUACUGACGCUGAGACGCGAAAGCGUGGGGAGCAAACAGG
rnacentral:rRNA from 1 species